GUGAGGAAUAUUGGACAAUGGGCGCAAGCCUGACCCAGCAACGCCGCGUGAAGGAAGAAGGCUUUCGGGUUGUAAACUUCUUUUACCAGGGACGAAACAAAUGACGGUACCUGGUGAAUAAGCCACGGCUAACUACGUGCCAGCAGCCGCGGUAAUACGUAGGUGGCGAGCGUUAUCCGGAUUUAUUGGGUGUAAAGGGCGUGUAGGCGGGACAGCAAGUCAGAUGUGAAAACCAGAGGCUCAACCUCUGGCCUGCAUUUGAAACUGUUGUUCUUGAGUGUCGGAGAGGUAAUCGGAAUUCCGUGUGUAGCGGUGAAAUGCGUAGAUAUACGGAGGAACACCAGUGGCGAAGGCGGAUUACUGGACGAUAACUGACGCUGAGGCGCGAAAGCGUGGGGAGCAAACAGGAUUAGAUACCCGGGUAGUCC
rnacentral:rRNA from 1 species